UACAGAGGUCCCAAGCGUUGUUCGGAUUCAUUGGGCGUAAAGGGUGCGUAGGCGGCGCGGUAAGUCGGGUGUGAAAUCUCGGGCUUAACUCCGAAACUGCAUUCGAUACUGCCGUGCUUGAGGACUGGAGAGGAGACUGGAAUUUACGGUGUAGCGGUGAAAUGCGUAGAUAUCGAUGAAGGAAGACCAGUGGCGAAGGCGGGAUCACUGGUCCGGUACUGACGCUGAGGUGACGAAAGCGUGGGGAGCAAACAGG
rnacentral:rRNA from 1 species